CGAAUAGCUCAUUAUAACAGCCGUUGUUUCUUGGAUCUUCUCUCUACUUGGAUAACUGUGGUAAUUCUAGAGCUAAUACAUGCCUUGUAGCUCUGAUCGUAAGUGAUGAGCGCAUUUAUUAGAUCAAAACCAUCCGGCUUCGGCCGUGUUCUGGUGAUUCUGAAUAAUCCAGCAGAGCACAUGGGCUCGUCCCGGUGCCAAAUCUUUCAAGUGUCUGCUCUAUCAACUUUCGAUGGUAGUUCAUGUGACUACCAUGGUUGUGACGGGUAACGGAGGAUUAGGGUCUGACUCCGGAGAGGGAGCCUGAGAAACGGCUACCACUUCUAAGGAAGGCAGCAGGCGCGCAAAUUACCCAUUCUCAGUACGAGGAGGUAGUGACGAAAAAUACCAAGGUGAGGCCCUAUGGGUUUCGCCAUUGGAAUGAGAACAAUAUAAAUCUUUUAACGAGUAACAAGUGGAGGGCAAGUCUGGUGCCAGCAGCCGCGGUAAUUCCAGCUCCACAAGUGUAUUCCUAUAUUGUUGCGGUUAAAAAGCUCGUAGUUGGAUCUGAGUGCUUAGCGGGUGGUACAGUGUUUCACUGUCACUGCUUCGCGGCACAUAACCGUCGACUGGCUGCUGUUGUUGCCUUCACCGGUGACGGCAGUUAGCUAUCGACAUGUUUACUUUGAACAAAUCAGAGUGCUCAAAACAGGCGUUUCGCUUGUAUGUUCUUGCAUGGAAUAAUAGAAUAGGACCUUGGGUCUAUUUUGUUGGUUUUCGGAAUCAAGGUAAUGAUUAAGAGGGACAGACGGGGGCAUUCGUACUGCAACGGGAGAGGUGAAAUUCUUGGAUCGUUGCAAGACGAACUACUGCGA
rnacentral:rRNA from 1 species